AGCAGCCCACCUGCAGCCUACCCAGUUUAAGCACAGGACCUUGGUCUAAGCUUCAGGUACUUGAAAAACUCCAAACCCAAGAGCCAACCUCAUCAUAUUCAGCUGGGAAAGGUUGCACAAAUCAACUGUUGUGAAGUGCCAACUACAACUAAUCAGGAGAUGGGGGUGAGGAGAUGAAGGAUUGAAGCACAAGUACCCCCAUCAGUAGGUUUACCGUGUUUCUCAUUAAAUCCAUCAUGUGGGACAGUUCUGUAUUUGGAGAUACACCUUUUGUUGUGAAUGAGAUUUUUUUUUUUCUUUUGAAUGUCUAAGAAGCAACCCCUACAUUCUGGAGCUAUUGUGAGAAAUGCUGUGUGGCACCUUAUAAACAAAACAAAGAAAGAUGGUUGGUUAUGGGGGUUUCUUUUGGUGGGGGGUGGGUGGGGGGAAUUUUUGUCUCUAUUGCAGAGCUGCUUAUUUUGUGAUUCAUCUCCGAUAUAGAUACCAGAGGGGUUUAGAUGCAGUGAGAGGAUGGAGGAAUAAAACAACUGUUGUAGACGUGUCUAACGAGGAAUUGAUCCCAAAUCACAAUCACUGGAAGGAUCAACUGUGUUUACAUAAGGAACCACUGUGCAGAAUGUGCUAAAUAUAGAGGCAAACCCACACAUGUCUGCUGAGGGGCACUGCUUGAAUCCUCUACUGCUGCAAAAUCAUCAGAUGCAUUCAAACCUCUCUUUUGGUUCUAAACGGAUCCUGAAUUUUAUGAGCAUGUUCCUUUCUGAUAAGUACUUGGGAAAUAAUCUGUGUGACCAUGUUCAGCCUCCAAGCCCCACAGCCCUUGGUUUUGGAUGAAGUAGUAAGUUUUUAACAUCUGCCUUUUAAUGUCUGACUGUAUGAGAAAAGCUGCUUAGUCACAGGCGCAGAAAAAUAACACUGAAUUGCCAAUAGCAUAAAUAAAUCAGUACUUGCUCCCAUCUAUAAAUCUAUUCGUGUUUA